UACGUAGGGUGCAAGCGUUGUCCGGAAUUAUUGGGCGUAAGGAGCUCGUAGGCGGUCUGUCGCGUCUGCUGUGAAAACUCAGGGCUUAACCCUGAGCUUGCAGUGGGUACGGGCAGACUAGAGUGCGGUAGGGGAGAAUGGAAUUCCCGGUGUAGCGGUGAAAUGCGCAGAUAUCGGGAGGAACACCGGUGGCGAAGGCGGUUCUCUGGGCCUUACCUGACGCUGUGGAGCGAAAGCGUGGGGAGCGAACAGGG
rnacentral:rRNA from 1 species